GGGGGGGGGGGGGGGGGGGGGGGGGGGGGGGGGGGGGGGGGGGGGGGGGGGGGGGGGGGGGGGGGGUGGAGGGGCGAGCGGGGGGGUGGCGGGUGAGUAACCUGCCCUGGGCUUUGGGAUAACUUCCGGAAACUGGGGCGAAUACCGGCUAGGAGCUCCUGCUGCAUGGUGGGGGGUGGGAAGGUUCGGCGGUUGGGGAUGGACUCGCGGCGUAUCAGCGUGUUGGUGGGGUAGUGGCUUACCAAGGCUUUGACGGGUAGCCGGCCUGAGAGGGUGACCGGCCACAUUGGGACUGAGAUACGGCCCAGACUCCUACGGGAGGCAGCAGUGGGGAAUAUUGCACAAUGGGCGGAAGCCUGAUGCAGCAACGCCGCGUGCGGGAUGACGGCCUUCGGGUUGUAAACCGCUUUCGCCUGUGACGAAGCGUGAGUGACGGUAAUGGGUAAAGAAGCACCGGCUAACUACGUG
rnacentral:rRNA from 1 species